rnacentral:lncRNA from 1 species
GAUGGUUCUAUCGCGUCAGUUUUUCCAUCUUCAGUUCUGAUUAAGCAGGAGCUAAAUCUUCUAACAGGGUAAGCCUAGAUCCAGAAGGAUCAUCAGGCUCAAUAUGGACCACUUUAGCCACUGCAAGCAUGGUAUGCCGUACCGGCCCAAACCGGACGGUUUCGAGCCGGUACAGGGCGUACCAUAUUAUACUGGUUUGGUAUUGGUAUCUGAUAUAGGUGGCGUACCGACACUCGGUAUGCCAAAAAAUCUCAUAACAUACUGACAACGUGUUAGUAUAACACCAGUACGGGAUUCGAUACCGAGACGACAAAUCUUGACUACGAGUAUUCGGAAGGAUCACCAAACUUGAUUUGGACCACUUUGGCCAUUAUGAACUAGACUAGACAGGAUCUAGGAGCGAGAUCUUCCGUAUCGAAAAGUCGAGUCGCAUACCAAACUUCCGAAGGCCAAACUCGGUCAUAUGGUGCCCGAUUAAGAUGAUCCUUUUUUUUAAUUUGGUAGCUUUUCGAGAUCUACAAGUAAAAGGUUGAAUUGGGAUGAAAUUCCUCCGUUAGGCACUGAAGUGGGCUGGUCAAACCAAAAAUUUUCUUUUUAGGUAAGAAUUUGACCAAGCAUAGCUUUCGAUCUGAGAAUAAUCAAGUAGAGCGAUAGAAAGCAGAGUUGAUAAAGAAGUCGAAAUCUACCUUCUUAAAAAUUUUAGUUUUUCUAGAAUAUUUUUAAAUUUUAGCUUUUUUAGAAUAUUUCUAUUGGUUAUAUUUAUUUUAGAAUUCG